UGCGGGUUCUUUCUGCGCCUCGCCAUCCUCGUUUGGGGAUGUGUUAAUUUUAAUUUUGUGAUUUUGGAGGUGGUUUUGGUUACUAGCUGGAAGAUUUAUGUUCGCCUGCGUCGUGCUGUUUGUCUUUUUGAUUGUGGUGUUUGAUGUUUGCUGGGAGGGGGUGUAUAUGCUGGUUCAUGAUUAUGAAUGGAAUGGCUUACCCGCCCAUUGCUCGCAUUUUGUUUAAUUUGAAGUGUUUUUCCUUUUUGUUUUGCUUUCCUUAUUCUGCUAUGUGAAGUUGUUCUGCUGGGAAGGAAUUAUGGUGGCGAAUGAUGAUAUAAGUCUUGUCCUACACACUGAUUAUCUGUGUUGACAACAAACUCCGCUUAUUAUCUGAUGCCAUUGUAAGAUCUGUACGCAUUACUAUUCCAUUUCAUUCGUGUUCUGUCGUGUUUAGCGAAUUUUUUUUUUGGUAUAUUUGUCUUUUUGGGCUGAGGUUCAGCUUAUUGCAAUUUUUUUCCUUCUUAUGUGUUUCGGGUUUGGGGAUAAGAUUUUAAGGCGGUAAUAUUUGAGUUUUUCCGGCUUGAAAGUUGUAAACAAUUCGAUGAUGAUAGAAAGCAGACGGGCGGACUGAAUCUGAUGCCGUGUUGAUUGUCUGCCCAUGUUCCUGCUUAGGAAUAUUCCUGAGAUCCUUGGCUGAAUGUAGCUUGAAGCCUGCCAAGAAUUUUGAAAGAAAUUUGGUUAGUUAUUUGAUUCUCAUCAAUCCAGUUUUAGUGGUUUUAUGCUGACAGGCCGUAAUUUGAUAGUUACAGAUCGGAAAAAAAAAGGAAACAAAUGCUUGGCACAUUGCCCGGUGUUAGAAAUUUUUCUCAACAUUGAGGGCAAAUCUAAGAUUGUCAUAUUUUCAGUUUCAGGACAGGUUUGAUGAUAUGCAAUUGAAGACAUUUAAUUAACAUUUCCAACGAAAUGUUCUUUAACGUGAAAUAUGUUUUAUAGAGAAUUGUUUUAUAUUCUUUUGUCAUAAUGGAACUGCAUUGGAUUGAUCAUAUAUUAUUUUGGAGCAGCAGAGUCUUCAGGUGACUGCAAGAGAAGGAAACAAAUAAUACUCACAAAGGACCUAAAAUUACAAUUGGCCAAAAUGUUCAAGAAGUAGAUUGCCUUGUCCAACAGAUCAUCCAUGCGAAUUGCCAUGCAUAUCUAGAUAAGUGAUCGUGUUAGGAGUUGGAUGUUUGCUGUAAAGAAGUUGCACUUUUGCAGUUUGUCUGGAGAAUUGAUUAUGUCCCCAUGAAUCGAGCUUAAUUUGUUUGUUUCUUCCAUGCAAUUUAUGAAUUUGUGUAUCAGUGUUUUUUUUUUCCAUGUUAAGACAGUUUUGCAGAUGGCAUGUAGUCCAAAUGAAUGACAUUUUGUGUCUUGCAUUCUCAUUUGUUGCCUCAGAAAUCACAAUACAAAUAGAAUGGUUGCUGUACUUUUGAAAAUCUUUGAAAAACCAUGUUUGAUUCAAGACAAGCACUCAAAAUCCAGUUUUUCGAUAUCUCUUAAACUGAAACAGUUAGAAGUAACAGAUCGUUGGUGAUCUCAUCGAGCAGGCCAUUGAGCAUAUGUCUCUCUAUAUCUCUUAUAAUGUCAUCCUUCUCAGGGAAUAUAAGCAUCAUUUUGCUCCACUCGAGAUCCCACAUGCAGUUGAUGUCUGGACUUGUAUCAUAGAUGUCGUUGCCGAGCAUUUUAAUUAGGCUGGCUGCAACAUCGCAUUCAUCACCACCAUUCUGGCUGUAGAACUUAAGAAUUUCCAGGUCUUUGCACAACAACCUGACCAAGUCGUCGAGGGACCUUAAUUUGGUAUAACUUAAAUCAUUCCUUUGGUAGGGAUGAAAUGUGAUUUCCUGUCUCCUUGCUUUUCUUUUCAUCACUUCAUAUGCAGAGUCUAGCAGCAGCUUCUUUUUUGCAACCUCAUCGUCAUGGUCACCGAUGUGGAGAAAGCUCACAGGGAUGUUGAGCUUGAAUAGGGCUUCGGCUGUACUAAGGAACAACUGACUUUUUAUCAGUAUCUCCUUCAGGUCCUUCUCAGGUUCUGUGAGCUGCUCUUGUCUUGCCCAUGCAGGAAGUUGUUGGUAUGGUUCUGUACCUUCAUCAUUACCUGCAAGAUUUAAAAGGUAUGCAUUAAGUUAGAUCAGGUUUUCUUCCAUACCUGUGGUCUCAAAUGAAAUAACAAGAUGUAGAGUAUGCCAAUAUGCUUUAUAUCAAAUGCAAGAAUGGGAAAUUUUAUGCGAGAUGCAGGCCCUAGUAAGUGAGCAAACCAACGUAAUUGUUUAUAAUGGAUAGAUAAACACCUUUUGGUUGACAUAAUUUGAGUUCUUGUGGAUCCUCAGGACCAUAAGAUUGUUCUGCUGACUUGACAGCAUCAGUAGCUUCUCCAGAGUUUAAGCUUGCAGCGUCACACUGGAAAUGUCGGUAAAGAUAUGCGAAUGACUGUUGGAUAUGAUUUUCUGGUGAGCUUCGGUUUGGCACUUCUGCUGGUUCGGUCGAUGGGCCUUCAUGUCUGAUGCAUCACUCAUAGGCAUUUGUUCUUUUCUUCCGUUGACCUUACCAUUACUUUGAUCAUCCAUUCUUUUUGAGCUGCGAUUCUUGGAUUCCAUCUGCUGUUUCAAAUCUUUCAGUAUAUUACCUGGCUGCUUUCUUGUUCUUGCUAAUUGAUUCACAGUUGCAUUUCUUUUGGUCAUCAUCACAUCUAUCUUCUGAGGAAUUUCACCUUUCUGAACUUCUUCCGGAAUGAUCAUCUGUGUUGCUGAAACCUCAAUUGGCUUCUCCUUUGAGAGCAUGGCCUUACUGUGUUCCUUGUUUUCGUCAAUAUGAGAUCCUCUUGGCGAUGAAUCUAUAGUUCGGUCCUCCUUUCUGAAAUUUUCCUGGGUAGAUGCUGUUUCUCGGGACCUGUCAUUCGUUGGAGCAACAUCUUGAUAUCUUUUGUUUAGUGGACUUCUUAUGGAAACCUUUUCGGUGGGUUUCACUGACUUCUCAUAACUCAAUGCAGGUUUGUGCUGUGAUAGCUUCUUCAAAACUGUGGCUGUACUUCUCUUUGAUUUUGAAGCCACCUUCUCCACUUGGUGGCCAUCUUGUUUCUUGGCAAUCACAUUCUGUUUCUGUAGCUGUUGUGCUCUUUGCUCUGCCUUCCACUUCUCUUCUGAAUGUUCGAUUCUUUUAGGCUCGUGAUCUUGAAUUACCAAACUCACAUCCUGCAGGGGUUUUUCCUGUUUGCUUGGUACAUUGUCUGAGCUUCUCUUUUCCAUUGAACUGGUACGGAUCUUGUGCUCCAACCUAUGUUGUGUUUUUUCUUCAGCUCUAACUGUUCUACCACUUCGCAGCGAUUGCUGUAUUUCAGUGUUCAAAACUGGCUUACUGGAUUCCCUUUCAAUGGCUGUACUUUCUUUAUCUUUUAUGUGAUUCUGUUUCCUCCCACUCUCUUCAAAACUUUCGUGCCUCUGCUUUUUGUUCAUAACAGACUCCGCCAUUGAUGUGUCUGAAUAUUUCUGCACUUUGCUUCUCUCAUAGACAGUGUUGUUUGCAGAGGACUUUCUGUCGAUGCUCAAGUGCUCGGGCAACUUAUGAUUUCUUUGAGAAACUUUCUCUUGCUUCCCUUCCUUUCCUUUCGAGUCAUUUUUCAUGGCUUUGGAGCCUUCCCUCUGAGGGAGUUCUUCAAGCCCCAUUAGUUUAGCUAUGACAUUUGAAAUCCUCCCUUUCUCCUUUGUGGGCUGUGGUGAAGUCAUUUCUUGGACAUAGCUUGUCGACCUCCGGUGGACAAUCAGUUUUGAGCUGUUGGUGUCUGAAGUUACAUGUGAAUUUCUAGAAGGUUUGUCAAAGGAGAAUCUGGGCCUGUCUAGUUUCCACUGAUCAGCAACCUUACCCCCGUCGUCUUGUUCAUCCUCAUCCUCAUCCUCAUCGAUUAGCUUUAUACGGCUUUUGCUCUGACUGGCAUUCAUGUGCUUUGAGCUUUCUUGCAGGCUCACUAGCAUCCUUAAAGACUCCUCCAAGUCGACUGCGCCUUUCAACAGCUCCUUCCCUACUUCAAUUGAGUGUCGAUCAAAGUUAAAGCCAUUGGAGCAAGCUCUUAGAAUCUGGUUCAGCUUCUGCACUCCUUUGGAGAUUUCGCCAAUCUGAAUAUUGGAGACAUUAGGAUACUGGUCUAUCGAGAGGCCAUGGACAGUUAAGUUGGCAAUGUCCAUUUUCUGGCUGCCCGUAGAUCUCCGACCAAACCGGUUGAAAAAAUUCACCAGUGGAUUGUUACUCGAAGCCCCGACUUUACUGAGGCUCCCGCUGUUCUCAAAGGCAAAAGCUAUGGCCAUUGUCAGAUCCUUGACUUGUCUGCAACUUUGGCCGCUUUCGUACAGCACAAUCUGGUUUGAUGCUUCAUUGAUAUUGAUUGCCCGGCUACUUCCGCUCGACCUUCUUCCUGUGUUGUUCCCUGUUCUUAAACCAACCUGCGCAAGGGUAAUCGUCGCUACUCAUUUAGAUUAAUCUAUUCCUUAGUGCAAAAUUAUUUCUACCCUAACAUAUUCAGGUAGCUGUUGAAUCAACACUCACGGAUUCUAGCGUGUUUAUUUGUCGGGAACCCCUUGAAGUUCGCCCGGAGUUUCCCUGCACAACUGUUGGAUCAUAGAAAUAACUAUGCAUAUGAAUCAAUACUGGUCAGGAAGAUAAACAUUUAACGAAUGUUACCUCUACGGUAUCUAUUCUUAUAUUUUUAUCUUUUAAAGUAAUGGAAUUCGACAUUUAACUUGGUGGUAAGAACAGAACAUUUAUCUCAACACGAAACUGAUAGCAUGCUGUAGUAACAUCUCUCGACUUGAUCUAAAUCUCUAUGUGCAUGAAGGAUAUUGCAGAAGCUUUACCUCUGGAUGUAUGGCCGGAUUGGCGGCUGGAGCAUUCAGCGCCAGCCAUCCUCUCCUUGCGCAGGCGGAGAUCGUGGAGGAGCUUCUGGGCAAAAUCCGAUUUAGCCGCCAUGGUACGCUUCCUCUUUCCCCGAUAACUCACUCAACUAGAAACUGCUGAAACUAACAGAUAGAUAUGGGGAAUGAACAAUAGAAGAGAAAAUAGAAUUGGAGCCAUUGAUUUGCAGUUGAGAUUAUAGAAUACAUACACAUUCACUUUGGUGGGGAGGUUCUUUCAGUGUUUGGUAUGAUGGAAUGUGGGGAAAAGGGCAUGGGAAUUAAGAUGGAAUAUUUUAGUUUACUUAGAGCAAGGUUAAUGUAGAGAGAGAGAGAGAUGAGACAGAAGCUUGGUUGCUUUUAUUCCACUCCAAGCAAUGCCGCCAUUGCAGUGCCAGCCACACCUUGCUCUGUUCUCUCUUCUUCUCCAAACUUUUCUUCUCAGCUAAUCUACUAUAUGCGUCUGUUACUAUCUGUAUAUAUAUUUAUUUAUUUAUGUUUGAAAUAUGUAUGAAUUUUUAUUAGUUUACUUUUUAGGUAGAAAGUAAUUUUAAUAGGUGGAAAGUAAUUUUAAAGAGCCUCCCUCAUCUUAGAGAUAAAAGUAGAAACAAUUUGAUA